rnacentral:rRNA from 1 species
UACGUAGGCAGCAAGCGUUGUUCGGAGUUACUGGGCGUAAAGAGCUCGUAGGCGGUUCGAUAAGUCGGACGUGAAAUCUCCACGCUCAACGUGGAGGGCCGUUCGAUACUGUCGUGACUCGAGUCCGGUAGGGGAGUGUGGAAUUCCCGGGUGUAGCGGUGAAAUGCGCAGAGAUCGGGAGGAACGACCCGUACGCCGAAGGCGGCACUCCUGGGCCGGUACUGAC